UGGGGAAUAUUGGACAAUGGGCGCAAGCCUGAUCCAGCAAUGCCGCGUGAGUGAUGAAGGCCUUAGGGUUGUAAAGCUCUUUCGCACGCGACGAUGAUGACGGUAGCGUGAGAAGAAGCCCCGGCUAACUUCGUGCCAGCAGCCGCGGUAAUACGAAGGGGGCUAGCGUUGUUCGGAAUUACUGGGCGUAAAGGGCGCGUAGGCGGCCUGUUUAGUCAGAAGUGAAAGCCCCGGGCUCAACCUGGGAAUAGCUUUUGAUACUGGCAGGCUUGAGUUCCGGAGAGGAUGGUGGAAUUCCCAGUGUAGAGGUGAAAUUCGUAGAUAUUGGGAAGAACACCGGUGGCGAAGGCGGCCAUCUGGACGGACACUGACGCUGAGGCGCGAAAGCGUGGGGAGCAAACAGGAUUAGAUACCCUGGUAGUCCACGCCGUAAAACGAUGAAUGCUAGACGUCGGGGUGCAUGCACUUCGGUGUCGCCGCUAACGCAUUAAGCAUUCCGCCUGGGGAGUACGGCCGCAAGGUUAAAACUCAAAUGAAUUGACGGGGUC
rnacentral:rRNA from 1 species